AGUGUUCGUGAAUGUGUUCACGCAGAUAUAAGAAGUUGGGGUUGGGGUUGAUGAUCCACAUGAUGGUGAUGGACCAGGACAGCUCUGGACCUCCUGACUGGCAGCUCCAUCCUCAACCUCCCUUCCUGUCCUUCACACAUGUGCAGGCAGAGGCAGUUUUCUGAAGGAUGGUUAAUGUCAGUAUCAACAUGUUGUGAUGGAGGCUUCCACCUGAGCUGAACACAGAAACUUGCACACAGUGAUGGAAGCAGUCGUUCCUGUUCAGCAUUGAUAUGCCGGUAAUGGGUUUGAUGAGCCACAGCGUGGUGAUGGGCAAUCAGCAUCAGGACCAGGGCCGCUCACAAGGAGAACCUCCUGCCCUGCCUCUUCAUCCUCAACCUCCAAUCUUCCUGCUCUUCACACAUGUGCAGGCACAGAGCCAGUUUUCAGAGGGAGGGCUGAUGACACCAGCAACUUCGGAUCUGAACCUGAUCAACCCAGCACCAACCACUGUGCCGCUCCUCCUCUGCCAACUGCACCACAUGGCUCCACCAUCUCAAAAAGGCACAGACACUACUCCACUUCCUGCGAAGGAUGAGAGAAGAGCCGACCUCCCCACAACGGCACUCACCACCUUCUACAGGGGUGUCAUUGAGAGCAUCCUGACCAGCAGCCUCUCUGUCUGGCAUGGCAGCCGUCAAGCUGAAGACUAGAAGGCAGUACAGAGAGUGGUGAGGACAGCAGAAAAGCUCAUAAGAUCACCCCUACCUGUUCUCCCUACUACCAUCAGGGAAGCGCUAGCCCAGCAUGCGGUGCUGCAAAAGCACACUGGGAAACGACUUCUUUCCACAAGCCAUCAGACUCCUCAACGCACUGAAGAAAACCACAUGAAUAACCAAGGACACGGGAGAAUAUUCCAUGAACACUUCUUUCACCAUGCCACUUACACUUAACUCAUUGCACCUUGUAUACAGCAUCUUCACACCACCUGUAUGAACUCCUCCUGCCGUGUGUGUGUGUGUGUGUGUGUGUCCACUGUGUUUGUGU